GGCGCACGGGUGCGUAACACGUAUGCAACCUACCCUUUACAGGGGGAUAGCUCAGAGAAAUCUGAAUUAAUACCCCAUAGUUACAUUUUGCUGCAUGGUAAGAUGUAUAAAGCUCCGGCGGUAAAGGAUGGGCAUGCGUUACAUUAGCUAGUUGGUGAGGUAAUGGCUCACCAAGGCUACGAUGUAUAGGGGUUCUGAGAGGAUGAUCCCCCACACUGGUACUGAGACACGGACCAGACUCCUACGGGAGGCAGCAGUAGGGAAUAUUGGACAAUGGACGCAAGUCUGAUCCAGCCAUGCCGCGUGCAGGAUGACAGCCCUCUGGGUUGUAAACUGCUUUUAUAUGAGAAGAAACCCUCAGAUGCGUUUGAGGCUGACGGUAUCAUAUGAAUAAGGAUCGGCUAACUUCGUGCCAGCAGCCGCGGUAAGACGAAGGAUCCAAGCGUUGCCCGGAUUUACUGGGUUUAAAGGAUGC
rnacentral:rRNA from 1 species